rnacentral:snRNA from 1 species
GUGCUCGCUUCGGCAGCACAUACACGAAAAUCGGAAUGAUACAGAGAAGAUUAGCAUGGUUCUUGAGGAAGGAUGGCAUGCAAAUUUGUGCAGUGGUCCAUAGUUUU